AGAAGUUUUUGAAAUUAUUUUUCUGAUUGAUUUUUGACGAAGUGUAUGUUUUUGCAGAACGUACACAGAGCUUUUGUUGUGGGCUAUAUUUUUUCAAUGUUAAUGUGAAUGUAAGAGAUAUAUAGCCCUGAUGAUGUCUUCAAUUGGAAGACGAAAUAUAUUGGCA